CCUGUAGCUCAGCUGGAUAGAGCGACGGACUACGAAUCCGCAGGUCGGGGGUUCGAAUCCCUCCAGGC
rnacentral:tRNA from 1 species